AACGUAGGAGACAACCGUUAUCCGGAGUUACUGGGCGUAAAGGGCGUGCAGGCGGUCUGUUAAGUCUGGCGUGAAAGCUCUCGGCUAAACCGGGAGAGGUCGUUGGAUACUGACGGACUAGAGGACGGUAGAGGCGUGUGGAAUUCCGGGUGUAGUGGUGAAAUGCGUAGAGAUCCGGAGGAACACCAGUGGCGAAGGCGACACGCUGGGCCGUACCUGACGCUAAGACGCGACAGCAUGGGGAGCGAACGGG
rnacentral:rRNA from 1 species